UACAGAGGUGGCAAGCGUUGUUCGGAAUUACUGGGCGUAAAGGGCGCGUAGGCGGCCUUCUAAGUCAGACGUGAAAUCCCCCGGCUUAACCUGGGAACUGCGUCUGAUACUGGGAGGCUUGAGUAUGGGAGAGGGAUGUAGAAUUCCAGGUGUAGCGGUGAAAUGCGUAGAUAUCAGGUGGAACACCGAUGGCGAAGGCAGUGUUCUGGGCCAGUACUGACGCUGAGGAGCGAAAGCGUGGGGAGCAAACAGG
rnacentral:rRNA from 1 species